AUUGAACGCUGGCGGCAUGCUUUACACAUGCAAGUCGAACGGCAGCGCGGGCUUCGGCCUGGCGGCGAGUGGCGAACGGGUGAGUAAUACAUCGGAACGUGCCCAGUAGUGGGGGAUAGCUCGGCGAAAGCCGGAUUAAUACCGCAUACGACCUGAGGGUGAAAGCGGGGGAUCUUCGGACCUCGCGCUAUUGGAGCGGCCGAUGGCAGAUUAGCUAGUUGGUGGGGUAAAGGCCUACCAAGGCGACGAUCUGUAGCUGGUCUGAGAGGACGACCAGCCACACUGGGACUGAGACACGGCCCAGACGCCUACGGGAGGCAGCAGUGGGGAAUUUUGGACAAUGGGCGAAAGCCUGAUCCAGCAAUGCCGCGUGUGUGAUGAAGGCCUUCGGGUUGUAAAGCACUUUUGGCGGGAACGAAAAGGACUGUGCCAAUACCACGGUUCGAUGACGGUACCCGCAGAAUAAGCACCGGCGAACUACGU
rnacentral:rRNA from 1 species